rnacentral:rRNA from 1 species
AACGAACGCUGGCGGCAUGCCUAACACAUGCAAGUCGAACGAGACCUUCGGGUCUAGUGGCGCACGGGUGCGUAACGCGUGGUAACCUGCCCUUAGGUUCGGAAUAACUCCCCGAAAGGGGUCCUAAUACCGGAUAAUGUCUUCGGACCAAAGAUUUAUCGCCUUUGGAUGGGCCCGCGUUGGAUUAGCUAGUUGGUAGGGUAAAAGCCUACCAAGGCGACGAUCCAUAGCUGGUUUGAGAGGAUGAUCAGCCACACUGGGACUGAGACACGGCCCAGACUCCUACGGGAGGCAGCAGUGGGGAAUAUUGGACAAUGGGCGAAAGCCUGAGCCAGCAAUGCCGCGUGAGUGAUGAAGGCCUUAGGGUUGUAAAGCUCUUUUAACCGGGAUGAUAAUGACAGUACCGGGAGAAUAAGCGCCGGCUAACUCCGUG